AUUGAACGCUGGCGGCAGGCCUAACACAUGCAAGUCGAACGAGUGGCGGACGGGAGAGUAAUGUCUGUGAAACUGCCUGAUGGAGGGGGAUAACUACUGGAAACGGUAGCUAAUACCGCAUACCAUCGGAUGUGCCCAUAUGGGAUUAGCUAGUAGGUGAGGUAAAGGCGCACCUAGGCGACGCUCCCUAGCUGGUCUGAGAGGAUGACCAGCCACACUGGAACUGAGACACGGUCCAGACGCCUACGGGAGGCAGCAGUGGGGAAUAUUGCACAAUGGGCGCAAGCCUGAUGCAGCCAUGCCGCGUGUAUGAAGAAGGCCUUCGGGUUGUAAAGUACUUUCAGCGGGGAGGCGUUACCCGCAGAAGAAGCACCGGCUAACUCCGUGCCAGCAGCCGCGGUAAUUC
rnacentral:rRNA from 1 species